AGUGAACGCUGGCGGUAGGCCUAACACAUGCAAGUCGAACGGCAGCACAGUAAGAGCUUGCUCUUACGGGUGGCGAGUGGCGGACGGGUGAGGAAUACAUCGGCAUCUACUUUUUCGUGGGGGAUAACGUAGGGAAACUUACGCUAAUACCGCAUACGACCUACGGGUGAAAGCAGGGGAUCUUCGGCCCUCGCGCGAUUGAAUGAGCCGAUGUCGGAUUAGCUAGUUGGCGGGGUAAAGGCCCACCAAGGCGACGAUCCGUAGCUGGUCUGAGAGGAUGAUCAGCCACACUGGAACUGAGACACGGUCCAGACUCCUACGGGAGGCAGCAGUAGGGAAUAUUGGACAAUGGGCGCAAGCCUGAUCCAGCCAUACCGCGUGGGUGAAGAAGGCCUUCGGGUUGUAAAGCCCUUUUGUUGGGAAAGAAAAGCAGCAGGUUAAUACCCCGCUGUUCUGACGGUACCCAAAGAAUAAGCACCGGCUAACUUCGUG
rnacentral:rRNA from 1 species